GCCUAUGGCCAGAUGGGACUGAUUGCAUGCGAUCUGGGAAACUAAGCAGGCCUGGGCCUGGUUUGUACCUGGAUGGGAGACUGCUUGGGAAUCCUGAAGGCUGCCUGCC
rnacentral:rRNA from 1 species